CACUGCCGAGAAAAGCCUCUAGAUAGAAAAUAGGUGCCCGUACCGCAAACCGACACAGGUAGUCAAGAUGAGAAUUCUAAGGUGAGCGAGCGAACUCUCGUUAAGGAACUCGGCAAAAUGACCCCGUAACUUCGGGAGAAGGGGUGCUCUUUAGGGUUAACGCCCAGAAGAGCCGCAGUGAAUAGGCCCAAGCGACUGUUUAUCAAAAACACAGGUCUCUGCUAAACCGUAAGGUGAUGUAUAGGGGCUGACGCCUGCCCGGUGCUGGAAGGUUAAGAGGAGUGGUUAGCUUCUGCGAAGCUACGAAUCGAAGCCCCAGUAAACGGCGGCCGUAACUAUAACGGUCCUAAGGUAGCGAAAUUCCUUGUCGGGUAAGUUCCGACCCGCACGAAAGGCGUAACGAUUUGGGCACUGUCUCAACGAGAGACUCGGUGAAAUCAUAGUACCUGUGAAGAUGCAGGUUACCCGCGACAGGACGGAAAGACCCCGUGGAGCUUUACUGUAGCCUGAUAUUGAAAUUCGGCACAGCUUGUACAGGAUAGGUAGGAGCCUUUGAAACGUGAGCGCUAGCUUACGUGGAGGCGCUGGUGGGAUACUACCCUAGCUGUGUUGGCUUUCUAACCCGCACCACUUAUCGUGGUGGGAGACAGUGUCAGGCGGGCAGUUUGACUGGGGCGGUCGCCUCCUAAAAGGUAACGGAGGCGCUCAAAGGUUCCCUCAGAAUGGUUGGAAAUCAUUCAUAGAGUGUAAAGGCAUAAGGGAGCUUGACUGCGAGACCUACAAGUCGAGCAGGGUCGAAAGACGGACUUAGUGAUCCGGUGGUUCCGCAUGGAAGGGCCAUCGCUCAACGGAUAAAAGCUACCCCGGGGAUAACAGGCUUAUCUCCCCCAAGAGUUCACAUCGACGGGGAGGUUUGGCACCUCGAUGUCGGCUCAUCGCAUCCUGGGGCUGUAGUCGGUCCCAAGGGUUGGGCUGUUCGCCCAUUAAAGCGGUACGCGAGCUGGGUUCAGAACGUCGU
rnacentral:rRNA from 1 species